GCUGAAAGGCAGGAGUGCCCGCAAGGGAGCGCGGAGACAGGUGGUGCAUGGCUGUCGUCAGCUCGUGUCGUGAGAUGUUGGGUUAAGUCCCGCAACGAGCGCAACCCUCACCCCUUGUUGCUACCAGGUAAAGCUGGGCACUCUAGGGGAACUGCCCCGGUCAACGGGGAGGAAGGCGGGGAUGACGUCAAGUCAUCAUGCCCCUUACGUCCUGGGCUACACACGUGCUACAAUGGCCGAUACAGAGGGAUGCGAGACCGCGAGGUGGAGCUAAUCCCAAAAAGCCGGUCUAAGUUCAGAUUGCAGUCUGCAACUCGACUGCAUGAAGUAGGAAUCGCUAGUAAUCGCGCAUCAGCACGGCGCGGUGAAUACGUUCCCGGGCCUUGUACACACCGCCCGUCACACCACGAAAGCUGG
rnacentral:rRNA from 1 species